CUCUCUCCCCCGCGCGAGGGAUCCGUAGCCGCGCCUCCCCUUGUCGCGAUUCUGCUCGCAGCACCACAUGGACCUGGGACCGGUAUCCGGCCGGCGUUACUCCGUCGAGAGCCUCUUGCGCCAAGGUCUCACACGGGGGAGGGAAAAAGAAGGGGAUGGAGGCGGAGCUGGUCCAUGGCGCGGCGGCCGUGGUGUCUCCAUAUCGGGCCAUGGCGGACGGCAUUAGAAGCAGCGAUUGGAGCCGAGGGAGGGUGGCCGGGUGGGCAGGAGUGGCAGCCGGCAGCGAUGCAUCGUCCUUUGUCAUGGUCUGCCGCUUCGCUAUUCUAGAAGCCAAAAGUGUCGCGCAGGAGCUCCUGGAGGAUUCCCAGCGCAGCCAAGGACCGCUACUGGAAGGACAACCGGCAGGCUUCGCAAUCCGUCCAAAUGGCAAUCGCUCGAUCGGAAUGGAGCAAGACGAGAAAACCGCCAACUUUUAAAUAUAGACCGUUAAAAUUUAUAAUCAAAGGAUUAGAUAUUGUAGCCUAUGUGGAAGAAGUGUGGUGGCUCAUUUUCCUUUUGUUUUUAUAAUAUAAUAAUAGAUAUGAGUUUUUAUCUGAUGAAUA